UACGUAGGUCCCGAGCGUUGUCCGGAUUUAUUGGACGUAAAGCGAGCGCAGGUGGUUUAUUAAGUCUGGUGUAAAAGGCAGUGGCUCAACCAUUGUAUGCAUUGGAAACUGGUAGACUUGAGUGCAGGAGAGGGGAGUGGAAUUCCAUGUGUAGCGGUGAAAUGCGUAGAUAUAUGGAGGAACACCGGUGGCGAAAGCGGCUCUCUGGCCUGUAACUGACACUGAGGCUCGAAAGCGUGGGGAGCAAACAGG
rnacentral:rRNA from 1 species